rnacentral:lncRNA from 1 species
AAUGACUCACUUGAAGAAUGCCUCCUUGAGGAACUCCUCCUGAAGAAGUUCAUUUUCCUAGACACAAAAUUUUGAAAUUUUUGGACCACAAAAUUAUGUUAGUAAAACUUUCCAAGAUUGAUAGCAACUAUUCAUAUGGAUGCCUAGAGGAUAUAUCAAGCAUGCCCACUACUUGGAACUCAAAGUAUUAAUCAUGGAAGCUCAUUUUCAGUAGCACCAAGUGUAGG